rnacentral:rRNA from 1 species
GUGUCAGCAGCCGCGGUAAUACAGAGGUCCCGAGCGUUGUUCGGAUUCACUGGGCGUAAAGGGUGCGUAGGUGGCUUGAAAAGUUUGAUGUGAAAGCUCAGGGCUUAACCCUGAAAUGGCAUUGAAUACUGUCGAGCUGGAGGUUUGGAGGGGGGACUGGAAUUCUUGGUGUAGCAGUGAAAUGCGUAGAUAUCAAGAGGAACACCAGUGGCGAAGGCGAGUCCCUGGACAACACCUGACACUGAGGCACGAAAGCUAGGGGAGCAAACAGGAUUAGAAACCCGCGUAGUCC